UACGUAGGUGGCAAGCGUUGUCCGGAUUUACUGGGCGUAAAGAGCGCGCAGGCGGUCGAGUAAGUCGAAUGUGAAAGCCCCCGGCUUAACCCCGGGUCUGCAUUCGAUACGGGCAGGCUGGAGUUCGGUAGGGGAGAUCGGAAUUCCUGGUGUAGCGGUGAAAUGCGCAGAUAUCAGGAGGAACACCGGUGGCGAAGGCGGAUCUCUGGGACGGUACUGACGCUGAGACGCGAAAGCGUGGGGAGCGAACAGG
rnacentral:rRNA from 1 species